UCUCUCUCUCUUUGUUGCAACCGCUUUUCAUCUUCCUCUCGAAACCCUAACCAUAGUUUCAGCAUUUCAACUCUCGAAAAUCACCACAAUUUCAAAUUCUUGCAUCUGAUUUCUAUCAAAUCCUGGGAAUUCCAAACUUCUGAAUAUCUGGAAAGAGGAGUCGUUGAAUCUAUUGUUGUUUCUCUCGAUUAAGACCCUAGGAUUUCGGCAUUAUGAGGGUGUACUAGAUUGAGUUAAUGAUGAGGUUUUUUUGCCAUGUCAAAAGCUUUGAACUUCAUCAACUCAGAUGAGCUUUCCAUGCAGUGCAUUCUGAUUGCUUUGAACUGUUUUCUUCAGAGUUGAAGGCGAGUGGUGACCUCACCAAGGAUGUAGAGCUAAAGGGCGUGUUCUUAGCCAUUGGUUAGAGUGAGAGGCUACAGAGGUUAUUGAUGUCUAUUGGUUGAAAUUUAAGUUUGUUUAGCAGAGGCUUCCAUUGUGGUCGAAGAGCAUCAAAGCAUGCCUGCCCUAUUGUCGGCUGGUCUCAUCUUCUAUUUUAUGGCUAUGAUUUGCUAAGGAGAUGCUGCAGCUACUUUCACUCCAGCUGAUGUACGGUUUUGCCUGUUUGGCCAUAUAAGGCUAUGUGGCUGCGUGGAAGGUUGUAUUUCUAUAAACAUUUGUAGCAUGGAAAACGGCAUUCAUGUGUAUUUGUAGUCUGUUUUGAAAACAUUAAAUAGACCAUUAACUGUUUUAUUGGUAUUGUGCUGA